UGGGGAAUCUUGCACAAUGGGGGCAACCCUGAUGCAGCGACGCCGCGUGAGCGAUGAAGGUUUUCGAAUCGUAAAGCUCUGUCCUAUGGGAAGAUAAUGACGGUACCAUAGGAGGAAGCCCCGGCUAACUACGUGCCAGCAGCCCCGGUAAUACGUAGGGGGCGAGCGUUGUCCGGAAUUACUGGGCGUAAAAGGUUCCCAGGCGGCAUGGCAAGUCCGAUGUAAAAGGCGAAGGCUCAAACUUCGUAAGCAUCGGAAACUGUCAAGCUUGAGUGAAGGAGAGGAAAGUGGAAUUCCUAGUGUAGCGGUGGAAUGCGUAGAUAUUAGGAGGAAUACCGGUGGCGAAAGCGACUUGCUGGACUGCAACUGACGCUGAGGAACGAAAGCGUGGGUAGCAAAAAGG
rnacentral:rRNA from 1 species